GCGGCGGGGACGGACGAGGGCGGCCCGCGGGCCCGGCUCCGCAGCCGCGACAGCUCGUGCGGCCGCCCCGGAACCCCGGGCGCGACGAGCGCCGCCAAGGGCAGCCCGAAUGGCGAGUGCGGGCGCGGCGAGCCGCAGUGCAGCCCCGCGGGGCCCGAGGGCCCGGCGCGGGGGCCCAAGGUGUCGUUCUCGUGCCGCGGGGCGGCCUCGGGGCCCGCGCCGGGGCCGGGGCCGGCGGAGGAGGCGGGCGGCGAGGAGGCGGGCCCGGCGGGGGAGCCGCGCGGCAGCCAGGCCAGCUUCAUGCAGCGCCAGUUCGGCGCGCUCCUGCAGCCCGGCGUCAACAAGUUCUCGCUGCGGAUGUUCGGCAGCCAGAAGGCCGUGGAGCGCGAGCAGGAGCGCGUCAAGUCGGCGGGGGCCUGGAUCAUCCACCCGUACAGCGACUUCAGGUGCCGCCUCCGGGGGAGGGCGCGGGAGGGCGCGGGGCGCGGGGCGCGGGG